rnacentral:rRNA from 1 species
AGCACAGCAGAGCUUGCUCUGUGGUGGCGAGUGGCGGACGGGUGAGUAAUGCAUCGGGACCUACCCAGACGUGGGGGAUAACCUCGGGAAACCGGGACUAAUACCGCAUACGUCCUACGGGAGAAAGCGGGGGAUCUUCGGACCUCGCGCGGUUGGACGGACCGAUGUGCGAUUAGCUAGUUGGUAGGGUAAAGGCCUACCAAGGCGACGAUCGCUAGCUGGUCUGAGAGGAUGAUCAGCCACACUGGAACUAAGACACGGUCCAGACUCCUACGAGAGGCAGCAGUGGGGAAUAUUGGACAAUGGGCGCAAGCCUGAUCCAGCAAUGCCGCGUGUGUGAAGAAGGCCUUCGGGUUGUAAAGCACUUUUAUCAGGAACGAAAUACCACGGGUCAAUAACCGGUGGGGCUAACGGUACCUGAGGAAUAAGCACCGGCUAACUUCGUGCCAGCAGCCGCGGUAAUACGAAGGGUGCAAGCGUUAAUCGGAAUUACUGGGCGUAAAGGGUGCGUAGGCGGUUCGUUAAGUCUGUUGUGAAAUCCCCGGGCUCAACCUGGGAAUGGCAAUGGAUACUGGCGAGCUAGAGUGUGUCAGAGGAUGGUGGAAUUUCCGGUGUAGCGGUGAAAUGCGUAGAGAUCGGAAGGAACAUCAGUGGCGAAGGCGGCCAUCUGGGACAACACUGACGCUGAAGCACGAAAGCGUGGGGAGCAAACAGGAUUAGAUACCCUGGUAGUCCACGCCCUAAACGAUGCGAACUGGAUGUUGGUCUCAACUCGGAGAUCAGUGUCGAAGCUAACGCGUUAAGUUCGCCGC